CCGUGAGGGAAAGAUGGAAAGAACUUUGAAAAGAGAGUGAAAAGCACUUGAAACCGUCACGGGGGAAGCGGAUUGCGUGAGUGAUGGUGUCGCUUGUUCAGCGCUUUAUUGCGUGCAUUCUGGCGGCGCCGUGCCGGCGUGGCUGGCUGGACUGUGAUUUUGACAGUCUCGGCUGGUGAGGGCUCCCUCGUAUGAGGUGAGGACGCGGGCAAAAUGACGCAAUACGACCCGUCUUGAAACACGGACCAAGGAGUCUAGCACGGCUGCGAGUCGAAGAGUGAUUAAACUCAAGGGCGCAGUGAAAGCGAAAUUAUAAGCAAAUUGGGGAGGCGUUGCGUUUUUAACAAAAUGUCCUACCUCGAGCAUUUGUGCUGGGACCCGAAAGAUGGUGAACUAUGCCGGAGUAGGGCAAAGCCAGAGGAAACUCUGGUGGAGGCUCGUAGCGAUGCUGACGUGCAAAUCGCUCGUCGAACUUGGGUAUAGGGGCGAAAGACUAAUCGAACCAUCUAGUAGCUGGUUCCCUCCGAAGUUUCUCUCAGGAUAGCGGGCCGACACGCGUUUGUUGUUUUGUGCGGUAAAGCGAAUGAUUAGUGCAUUUGGGGUACGAAGUACUUCGGGCGAUUCUCAAACUUUAAAUGCGCAAGGGGGUGGCUGCUUAAUUGAGCCUACUCUUUGAAAAACGUCGGCCCUGUGGGCCACUUUUGGUAAGCA
rnacentral:rRNA from 1 species